CGAAUACGAACCGUGAAAGCGUG
rnacentral:snRNA from 1 species